rnacentral:tRNA from 1 species
GCCGAGGUGGUGGAACUGGCAGACACACCAGCUUGAGGGGCUGGCGCCGUUAAACGCGUAGGAGUUCGAAUCUCCUCCUCGGCA